rnacentral:RNase_P_RNA from 1 species
GUAAACCGGGUGAUCGCCCUGAGGUAUCAGGGAGGAAAGUCCGAACUCCACCGGGCAGGAUGCUGGGUAACACCCAGGAGGGGUGACCCUACGGAAAGUGCCACAGAAACAUACCGCCCUUCAGCGGAAGGGUAAGGGUGAAAUGGUGAGGUAAGAGCUCACCAGCGACUGGGUGACCGGUCGGCUGGGUAAACCCCAUCCGGAGCAAGACCGAAUAGAGGGACGCAGGGACGCCCGGCCCGUUCCCCGGGUUGGUCGCUCGACCCUUCCGGAAACGGAAGGGCUAGAUAGAUGGUCACCGUCCUUCUCGAAGGGGAAGGAUACAGAACUCGGCUUACAGGUUUACUUGA